GACGAACGCUGGCGGCGUGCUUAACACAUGCAAGUCGAGCGGUAAGGCCCUUUCGGGGGUACACGAGCGGCGAACGGGUGAGUAACACGUGGGUGACCUGCCCUUAGCUCUGGGAUAAGCCUGGGAAACUGGGUCUAAUACCGGAUAUGACUCCAUGGCGCAUGUUGUGGGGUGGAAAGCCUUGUGCGGCUAGGGAUGGGCCUGCGGCCUAUCAGCUUGUUGGUGGGGUGAUGGCCUACCAAGGCGACGACGGGUAGCCGGCCUGAGAGGGCGACCGGCCACACUGGGACUGAGACACGGCCCAGACUCCUACGGGAGGCAGCAGUGGGGAAUCUUGCGCAAUGGGCGAAAGCCUGACGCAGCGACGCCGCGUGGGGAUGACGGCCU
rnacentral:rRNA from 1 species